AAGGUGGAAAGAACCAAGUGUGG
rnacentral:siRNA from 1 species